GUGAAAGUGGGCCGAACCGGUCUAAGGCCCCUGGUUUUUAGGCCCCAGUCUCCUUCGGGAGGCCGCGGGUUCGAAACCCCGUUCCCUUCACA